UACGAAGGGGGCUAGCGUUGCUCGGAAUCACUGGGCGUAAAGGGUGCGUAGGCGGGUCUUUUAAGUCAGGGGUGAAAUCCUGGAGCUCAACUCCAGAACUGCCUUUGAUACUGAAGAUCUUGAGUUCGGGAGAGGUGAGUGGAACUGCGAGUGUAGAGGUGAAAUUCGUAGAUAUUCGGAAGAACACCAGUGGCGAAGGCGACACACUGGCCCGUUACUGACGCUGAGGCGCGAAAGCGUGGGGAGCAAACAGG
rnacentral:rRNA from 1 species